rnacentral:snRNA from 1 species
ACAGAAUAGUGGAGAACAACUGG